GACGAACGCUGGCGGCGUGCUUAACACAUGCAAGUCGAACGGAGAUAUAUAAAAUAGUUUACUAUGAAUAUAUUUUAGUGGCGGACGGGUGAGUAACACGUGGGCAACCUGCCUUAGAGUGGGGGAUAACAACGAGAAAUCGUUGCUAAUACCGCAUGAAAUUAGAUUAUCGCAUGAUAGUUUAAUGAAAGGAGAAAUCCGCUAAAAGAUGGGCCCGCGCCUGAUUAGCUAGUUGGUGAGGUAAAAGCUCACCAAGGCGACGAUCAGUAGCCGAUCUGAGAGGAUGACCGGCCACACUGGAACUGAGACACGGUCCAGACUCCUACGGGAGGCAGCAGUGGGGAAUAUUGCACAAUGGGGGAAACCCUGAUGCAGCAACGCCGCGUGGAGGAAGAAGGUUUUCGGAUUGUAAACUCCUGUCUUUUGGGACGAUAAUGACGGUACCAAAAGAGGAAGCCACGGCUAACUACGUG
rnacentral:rRNA from 1 species